rnacentral:ncRNA from 2 species
GUAAAGAAAAAAUAUUCUUUUCGUAUAACUGCAGGGAUAUGGCCUGCGAGUCUCUACCAAGCUUCCCGUAAAGAGCUUGACUACGAAAAAUCAUCCUAUCUCA